GAGUCAGUGAACAAGAAGUGGGAGCGAAGUAAGAACGCAACAUUGCAGCUGGUGGACAUGGAGUGCAGUUACCUCACUGUUGAUUCUUCAGGAAGCUUUCCACUGCUCUGAGAAUGCCGAGUGUACUUUGCUCCGUUGUGGUCGGUGUGGUUCAGUCCAGAGAAUAUUUCUGAGGCUUAGCUAAGCUUCCACAGACCAUAGACAGGAAGAGGAGAAGCAUUUUGUGAGGGAGCUAUUGAGGCAGAGAGGAAGCGCAAGAGAAGAAGAAGAAGAAAAGGUACAAGAGAGAGAAAAGUGUGAAGCUGGAGAGAGAAAAGCUGCUAGAGUGAGAGUGAGACAAGAAAAGGAACUUGCUGUUGGAAACGGAAUUUGGGAAUGGACCGGCUGCUACACAAGUUUCGCAGUUGCGGUUUGGACAUAGCUGCAACAGUUAUCUUCUUUUUUUAAAAAAAACAGCUGUGAUCAAGUCAAUUUUUUCAGGCAUCCAGAUGAUUAUUAUCUUCUUGAAGUUGACUGUUUACGAGUCUCUUUAACCUCUGUAGUUACUGUGAAGACAGAUUGAGAACUCACUUCCAAACUCAAACGAACAGCAAUGCUCUCUAUUCAGAGAUCAUGUGGAGAGAUCCCAGAGCUUUUUACACAGAUUUCUAUCAUGGCCGCUGAAACUGGAAGCACUGCUCUUUUCACUGUGAUUUGUAGCUUUGCUUCAAGGCGUGUACCCUUUUGCGCAAACAAGUUCUUCAACACUGGACUUGGUUUCAGUUUGGUCAUACUGCUUUGGGCUGUGGAUAGACUCGGGAGGUGAUUACUUAGCGCAUACUUCUUCCAUGGGUAAGACAUUCUGAUGUUAGAUUGUGUUCUUGCGAUCAAUGAGCCUUAAUCAGCAGCUCCUGCUGGUUGUGGCUUCUAAGUUGGCAACAAGAACAAGAGUAAUCUCUGAGGAAGCAAAAAAAAAUCUCUGUGGAAGCAAAAGCCACAACCAUGUUCUUUAUAUUCUUAUAGGAAACAUCUUUGCUCCUAUGUAAACUAAAUAUGUUUCUCCAAUGACCUGAAGAAUAUAUAAAUUGGUUUUUGUUUGUGUGAUCAGGAACAAACAAAUUUUUUGAAUAUAAAGCAUGUUACCUAA